rnacentral:rRNA from 1 species
GGACCCGCACAAGUAGUGGAGCAUGUGGUUUAAUUCGAAGAUACGCGCAGAACCUUACCAACACUUGACAUGUUCGUCGCGACUCUAAGAGAUUAGAGUUUUCGGUUCGGCCGGACGAAACACAGGUGCUGCAUGGCUGUCGUCAGCUCGUGUCGUGAGAUGUUGGGUUAAGUCCCGCAACGAGCGCAACCCUCACUUUUAGUUGCCAUCAUUAAGUUGGGCACUCUGAAAGAACUGCCAGUGAUAAGCUGGAGGAAGGUGGGGAUGACGUCAAGUCCUCAUGGCCCUUACGUGUUGGGCUACACACGUGCUACAAUGGUAUCUACAACAGGAAGCAAGACUGCGAGGUCAAGCAAAUCCUUAAAAGAUACCUCAGUUCGGAUAGGAGUCUGCAACUCGACUCCUUGAAGUUGGAGUCGCUAGUAA